rnacentral:rRNA from 1 species
AUUGAACGCUGGCGGCAGGCCUAACACAUGCAAGUCGAACGGCAGCACAGAAGAGCUUGCUCUUUGGGUGGCGAGUGGCGGACGGGUGAGUAAUGUCUGGGAAACUGCCCGAUGGAGGGGGAUAACUACUGGAAACGGUAGCUAAUACCGCAUAACGUCGCGAGACCAAAGUGGGGGACCUUCGGGCCUCACACCAUCGGAUGUGCCCAGAUGGGAUUAGCUAGUAGGUGGGGUAAUGGCUCACCUAGGCGACGAUCCCUAGCUGGUCUGAGAGGAUGACCAGCCACACUGGAACUGGGACACGGUCCAGACUCCUACGGGAGGCAGCAGUGGGGAAUAUUGCACAAUGGGCGCAAGCCUGAUGCAGCCAUGCCGCGUGUAUGAAGAAGGCCUUCGGGUUGUAAAGUACUUUCAGCGGGGAGGAAGGCGGUGAGGUUAAUAACCUUGCCGAUUGACGUUACCCGCAGAAGAAGCACCGGCUAACUCCGUGCCAGCCGCCGCUGUAA